rnacentral:tRNA from 1 species
CAAGAAAAAGCAUUAAGUGAUGUGUUUCGUUUACGUUGAAAAAAUGGGAAGAUAUUUCCCUUUCUUGA